rnacentral:rRNA from 1 species
UAAUACAGAGGGUGCGAGCGUUAAUCGGAAUUACUGGGCGUAAAGGGUGCGUAGGUGGUUGCGUAAGUUAGGUGUGAAAGUCCUGGGCUUAACCUGGGGAUUGCGCCUGAUACUGUGUAGCUAGAGUACUGUAGAGGAAAGUGGAAUUUCCGGUGUAGCGGUGAAAUGCGUAGAUAUCGGAAGGAACAUCGGUGGCGAAGGCGACUUUCUGGACAGAUACUGACACUGAGGCACGAAAGCAUGGGGAGCAAACAGGAUUAGAUACCCUGGUAGUCCAUGCUGUAAACGAUGAAGACUGGCUGUUGGGUACCUACGGGUACUUAGUAGCGAAGCUAACGCGUUAAGUCUUCCGCCUGGGGAGUACGGCCGCAAGGUUA